GUGAAGGUCGGCCGAGAUGGAAAACAUAUCUUUCUCAUCAACAAGUCUAAAGAGGACCUGAAACUGGAAGGCUGGAAGUUACGAGUGAUGGUCAACGACCAAAACCCCAUCAUGUUCACAUUUGAGGAGUCAUUGAUACUCAAAUCUGAGAAGAGAGUCACUAUAUGGGUCCCAGGUUCUGCUCCCCAUGUUCCUCCCUAUAUCCUGAUAUGGAAGGACCUGC